rnacentral:lncRNA from 1 species
ACAGAGCAUUAUUAUAGUUAUAACACCAAACAAGCUAAGCUAAUAAUUUAUUUCCCCUUGCAAAGCAAGCACUCUUCCAAACUUGGCUAACUCCUUUGCGAUCAUGCCCAUUCAGAUUUUGCUCUUAAAAAGAUAUGGAGCAAUUUGAGGUCAACUCUUGAUGAAGCAGCCGUGUAUAUAUGUGCAUAGUAACUUCGUAGCUUCAU